CGCUAAUAAUAGGGUCGGACCGCCCCGAACCNUGUCUAUUUCCCCUAU
rnacentral:tRNA from 1 species